GAUGAACGCUGGCGGCGUGCCUAAUACAUGCAAGUCGAGCGAACAGAUGAGGAGCUUGCUCCUCUGACGUUAGCGGCGGACGGGUGAGUAACACGUGGAUAACCUACCUAUAAGACUGGGAUAACUUCGGGAAACCGGAGCUAAUACCGGAUAAUGUAUUGAACCGCAUGGUUCAAUAGUGAAAGACGGUUUUGCUGUCACUUAUAGAUGGAUCCGCGCCGCAUUAGCUAGUUGGUAAGGUAACGGCUUACCAAGGCAACGAUGCGUAGCCGACCUGAGAGGGUGAUCGGCCACACUGGAACUGAGACACGGUACAGACUCCUACGGGAGGCAGCAGUAGGGAAUCUUCCGCAAUGGGCGAAAGCCUGACGGAGCAACGCCGCGUGAGUGAUGAAGGUCUUCGGAUCGUAAACCUCUGUUAUUAGGGAAGAACAAAUGUGUAAGUAACUAUGCACGUCUUGACGGUACCUAAUCAGAAAGCCACGGCUAACUACGUG
rnacentral:rRNA from 1 species